rnacentral:rRNA from 1 species
UGGUUCUGGCAUCGAUGUAGAACGCAGCGAAAUGCGAUACGUAGAGUGAAUUGCAGAAUUCAGUGAAUCAUCGAAUCUUUGAACGCACAUUGCGCCCUUUGGUAUUCAAAAGGGCAUGCCUGUUCGAGCGUCAUUUGUAGCCUCAAGCUUUGCUUCGUGUUGGGCGUCUUGUCUCUCACGAGACUCGCAUUAAAAUCAUUGGCAGCCGACCUACUGGUUUCGGAGCGCAGCUCAAUUCUUGCACUUUGAAUCAGCCUUGGUUGAGCAUCCAUCAUGACCCUAUUUUUUAACUUUUGACCUCGGAUCAGGUCGG